rnacentral:lncRNA from 1 species
UUCCCAGGCACACACAGAGAGAGAAACAAAGUCUGGAGCUUGUUUGCAUCACAGUGAUAGGUGAAGGGGGCACUGAACCUCCUGAGACUGCUCUAUGGAUUCCUUCGAACAGGGCCUGGGACAUAAUGAAGCAGAGUAAAGGAUGGCUUUUUAUUUUAACGACUAAAGAUAAAUCAAUCCCAAAUAUCUCCACAGUAAAUCCCUCAGAAAAAGUGUGACUGAGACACCCCUAAUGGAUGCAUUUGCAGAUAGCAUGGAAUGCACCUCCCCUCCCCUCUACCCAGCAGCCCCCGGUGCCUUGGCCUCCUGAUGUGCUCCGGUCACAAUAGCCUUCUCGGUACUUCGGGCUCUUGUGCUGCCACACUUUUGUUGCAAAUGAGAAUUCUCAACUUCCGAGCGUGUUAAGAAGUAGAAGAGGAGAAAAGAGUCGGAGAAGUCAUAUAUCCAUCUCUUAGUCCGUCAUACUUCAGUAUCGCAAUUCGCAGACCUCUUAUUCUUGUGUAAAGGGUGAAAUUCUGGUUACUU